AGUGGAAAGAAGAAGUGCUCGCUUCUCGCCUGACUGAUGGAUGUUGGUAGGCAAAUGUCACUGAAGAUAUUAAUGUAUUAAUUCUUUGGGAUGUUUAUGCGGGUGCUUAUGCACCUGCUUUUUUAUUGUUAA
rfam:Sharpea azabuensis strain DSM 20406 genome assembly, contig: Ga0059086_1007